UCGGUUCUGUUUUGUUGGCUUUCUGAUACCAGAGGUAAUGAUUAAUAGGGACAACUGGGGGCAUUCGUAUUGCGACGUUAGAGGUGAAAUUCUUGGAUCGUCGCAAGACGGACUAAAGCGAAAGCAUUUGCCAAAGGUGUUUUCAUUAAUCAAGAACGAAAGUUAGAGGUUCGAAGGCGAUUAGAUACCGCUGUAGUUCUAACCAUAAAUGAUGCCAGCCAGCGAUCCGCCGAAGUUUCAUAAUUUUAACCCGGUGGGCAG
rnacentral:rRNA from 1 species